UGCUCUGGUUGCCUAGUGGUUAGAGCGUCCGCCUCGGAUGCGGGAGGUCGCGAGUUCUAAUCCCAGCCGAGUCAU